rnacentral:tRNA from 1 species
AGAAGCUUAGGUUAAAACACCAAACCAAGGGCCUUCAAAGCCCCAAAUAAGGGUUAAACCCCCUUAGCCUCUG